rnacentral:ncRNA from 1 species
ACCAAGGAGUCUGACAUGCGUGCGAGUCGACGGGUUUUGAAACCUGGGAUGCGCAAGGAAGCUGACGAGCGGGAGGCUCUCAUGGGCCGCACCGCUGACCGACCCUGAUCUUCUGUGAAGGGUUCGAGUUAGAGCACGCCUGUCGGGACCCGAAAGAUAAUGAACUAUGCCUGAGCGGGUCGAAGCCAGAUGAAACUCUGGUGGAGGCUUGAAGCGAUUCUGACGUGCAAAUCGUUCGUCUGACUUGGGUAUAGGGGCGAAAGACUAAUCGAACCAUCUAGUAGCUUGUUCCCUUCGAUGUUUCCCUCAGGAUAGCUGGAGCCCACUACGAGUUCUAUCAGGUAAAGCCAAUGAUCAGAGGCAUUGGGGACGCGACGUCCUCGACCUAUUCUCAAACUUUAAAUAGGUAGGAUGGCGCGGCUGCUUCGGUGAGCCGUGCCACGGAAUCGGGUGCUCCAAGUGGGCCAUUUUUGGUAAGCAGACUAGGCAAUGCGGGAUGAACCGGAAGCCGGGUUAUGGUGCCCAACUGCGCGCUAACCUAGAACCCAGAAAGGGUGUUGGUCGAUUAAGACAGCGGGACGACGGUCAUGGGAGUCAAAAUCCGCUAAGGAGUGUGUAACAACUCACCUGCCGAAUCAACUGGUCCCGAAAAUGGAUGGCGUUGAAGCGCGUGACCCAGACCCGGCCAUCUGGGCGAGCGCCAUGCCCCGAUGAGUAGGAGGGCGUGGCGGCCGCUACAAAACCCGGGGCGCGAGCCCGGGCGGAGCGGCCGUCGGUGCAAAUCUUGGUGGUAGUAACAAAUAUUCAAAUGAGAACUUUGAAGGCCAAAGAGGAGAAAGGUUCCAUCUGAACGGCACUUGCGCACGGGUAAGCCGAUCCUAAGGGAUGGGGUAACCCCGGCAGAUAGCGCGGUCACGCGCAUCCCCCGAAAGGUUAUCGUGUUAAGAUUUCCCGAGCCGGGAUGUGGUGGUUGACGGCGACGUUAGGAAGUCCAGAGACGCCAGCGGGGGCCUGGGGAAGAGUUAUUUUUUUCUGCUUAACGGCCUGCCAACCCUGGAAACGGUUUAGCUGGAGGUAGGGUCCAGUGGCCGGAAGAGCACCGCACGUCGCGUGGUGUCCGAUCGUACUGUUCACGCCUGUGAAAAUCCGGAGGACCGAGUACUGUUCACGCCCGAUCGUACUCAUAACCGCAUCAGGUCUCCAAGGUGAACAGCCUCUAGCC